rnacentral:tRNA from 1 species
GCCCUUGUAGUGUAGUGGUAAUCACGUUUCCUUUACACGGAAAAGGUCCCCGGUUCGAACCCGGGCGAGGGCA